rnacentral:rRNA from 1 species
AUUGAACGCUGGCGGCAGGCCUAACACAUGCAAGUCGAACGAGUGGCGGACGGGUGAGUAAUGUCUGGGAAACUGCCUGAUGGAGGGGGAUAACUACUGGAAACGGUAGCUAAUACCGCAUACCAUCGGAUGUGCCCAGAUGGGCUUAGCUAGUAGGUGGGGUAAAGGCUCACUUAGGCGACGAUCCCUAGCUGGUCUGAGAGGAUGACCAGCCACACUUGAACUGAGACACGGUCCAGACUCCUACGGUAGGCAGCAGUGGUGAAUAUUGCACAAUGGGCGCAAGUCUGAUGCAGCCAUGCCGCGUGUAUGAAGAAGGCCGUCGGGUUGUAAAGUACUUUCAGCGGGGAGGCGUUACCCGCAGAAGAAGCACCGGCUAACUCCGUGCCAGCAGCCGCGGUAAUUC